rnacentral:pre_miRNA from 1 species
AAUCUACUCCUUCCGUCCGGAAAUACUUGUCAUCAAAAUGGAUGAAAGGGGAUGUAUCUAGACGUAUUUUAGUUCUAGAUACAUCUCUUUUUAUUCAUUUUGGUGACAAGUAUUGUCGGACGGAGGGAGUACAUU